rnacentral:rRNA from 1 species
GGGUUGUGAGGUUAAGCGACUAAGCGUACACGGUGGAUGCCCUGGCAGUCAGAGGCGAUGAAGGACGUGCUAAUCUGCGAUAAGCGUCGGUAAGGUGAUAUGAACCGUUAUAACCGGCGAUUUCCGAAUGGGGAAACCCAGUGUGUUUCGACACACUAUCAUUAACUGAAUCCAUAGGUUAAUGAGGCGAACCGGGGGAACUGAAACAUCUAAGUACCCCGAGGAAAAGAAAUCAACCGAGAUUCCCCCAGUAGCGGCGAGCGAACGGGGAGCAGCCCAGAGCCUGAAUCAGUGUGUGUGUUAGUGGAAGCGUCUGGAAAGGCGCGCGAUACAGGGUGACAGCCCCGUACACAAAAAUGCACAUGCUGUGAGCUCGAUGAGUAGGGCGGGACACGUGGUAUCCUGUCUGAAUAUGGGGGGACCAUCCUCCAAGGCUAAAUACUCCUGACUGACCGAUAGUGAACCAGUACCGUGAGGGAAAGGCGAAAAGAACCCCGGCGAGGGGAGUGAAAAAGAACCUGAAACCGUGUACGUACAAGCAGUGGGAGCACGCUUAGGCGUGUGACUGCGUACCUUUUGUAUAAUGGGUCAGCGACUUAUAUUCUGUAGCAAGGUUAACCGAAUAGGGGAGCCGAAGGGAAACCGAGUCUUAACUGGGCGUUAAGUUGCAGGGUAUAGACCCGAAACCCGGUGAUCUAGCCAUGGGCAGGUUGAAGGUUGGGUAACACUAACUGGAGGACCGAACCGACUAAUGUUGAAAAAUUAGCGGAUGACUUGUGGCUGGGGGUGAAAGGCCAAUCAAACCGGGAGAUAGCUGGUUCUCCCCGAAAGCUAUUUAGGUAGCGCCUCGUGAAUUCAUCUCCGGGGGUAGAGCACUGUUUCGGCAAGGGGGUCAUCCCGACUUACCAACCCGAUGCAAACUGCGAAUACCGGAGAAUGUUAUCACGGGAGACACACGGCGGGUGCUAACGUCCGUCGUGAAGAGGGAAACAACCCAGACCGCCAGCUAAGGUCCCAAAGUCAUGGUUAAGUGGGAAACGAUGUGGGAAGGCCCAGACAGCCAGGAUGUUGGCUUAGAAGCAGCCAUCAUUUAAAGAAAGCGUAAUAGCUCACUGGUCGAGUCGGCCUGCGCGGAAGAUGUAACGGGGCUAAACCAUGCACCGAAGCUGCGGCAGCGACGCUUAUGCGUUGUUGGGUAGGGGAGCGUUCUGUAAGCCUGCGAAGGUGUGCUGUGAGGCAUGCUGGAGGUAUCAGAAGUGCGAAUGCUGACAUAAGUAACGAUAAAGCGGGUGAAAAGCCCGCUCGCCGGAAGACCAAGGGUUCCUGUCCAACGUUAAUCGGGGCAGGGUGAGUCGACCCCUAAGGCGAGGCCGAAAGGCGUAGUCGAUGGGAAACAGGUUAAUAUUCCUGUACUUGGUGUUACUGCGAAGGGGGGACGGAGAAGGCUAUGUUGGCCGGGCGACGGUUGUCCCGGUUUAAGCGUGUAGGCUGGUUUUCCAGGCAAAUCCGGAAAAUCAAGGCUGAGGCGUGAUGACGAGGCACUACGGUGCUGAAGCAACAAAUGCCCUGCUUCCAGGAAAAGCCUCUAAGCAUCAGGUAACAUCAAAUCGUACCCCAAACCGACACAGGUGGUCAGGUAGAGAAUACCAAGGCGCUUGAGAGAACUCGGGUGAAGGAACUAGGCAAAAUGGUGCCGUAACUUCGGGAGAAGGCACGCUGAUAUGUAGGUGAAGUCCCUCGCGGAUGGAGCUGAAAUCAGUCGAAGAUACCAGCUGGCUGCAACUGUUUAUUAAAAACACAGCACUGUGCAAACACGAAAGUGGACGUAUACGGUGUGACGCCUGCCCGGUGCCGGAAGGUUAAUUGAUGGGGUCAGCGCAAGCGAAGCUCUUGAUCGAAGCCCCGGUAAACGGCGGCCGUAACUAUAACGGUCCUAAGGUAGCGAAAUUCCUUGUCGGGUAAGUUCCGACCUGCACGAAUGGCGUAAUGAUGGCCAGGCUGUCUCCACCCGAGACUCAGUGAAAUUGAACUCGCUGUGAAGAUGCAGUGUACCCGCGGCAAGACGGAAAGACCCCGUGAACCUUUACUAUAGCUUGACACUGAACAUUGAGCCUUGAUGUGUAGGAUAGGUGGGAGGCUUAGAAGUGUGGACGCCAGUCUGCAUGGAGCCGACCUUGAAAUACCACCCUUUAAUGUUUGAUGUUCUAACGUUGACCCGUAAUCCGGGUUGCGGACAGUGUCUGGUGGGUAGUUUGACUGGGGCGGUCUCCUCCUAAAGAGUAACGGAGGAGCACGAAGGUUGGCUAAUCCUGGUCGGACAUCAGGAGGUUAGUGCAAUGGCAUAAGCCAGCUUGACUGCGAGCGUGACGGCGCGAGCAGGUGCGAAAGCAGGUCAUAGUGAUCCGGUGGUUCUGAAUGGAAGGGCCAUCGCUCAACGGAUAAAAGGUACUCCGGGGAUAACAGGCUGAUACCGCCCAAGAGUUCAUAUCGACGGCGGUGUUUGGCACCUCGAUGUCGGCUCAUCACAUCCUGGGGCUGAAGUAGGUCCCAAGGGUAUGGCUGUUCGCCAUUUAAAGUGGUACGCGAGCUGGGUUUAGAACGUCGUGAGACAGUUCGGUCCCUAUCUGCCGUGGGCGCUGGAGAACUGAGGGGGGCUGCUCCUAGUACGAGAGGACCGGAGUGGACGCAUCACUGGUGUUCGGGUUGUCAUGCCAAUGGCACUGCCCGGUAGCUAAAUGCGGAAGAGAUAAGUGCUGAAAGCAUCUAAGCACGAAACUUGCCCCGAGAUGAGUUCUCCCUGACUCCUUGAGAGUCCUGAAGGAACGUUGAAGACGACGACGUUGAUAGGCCGGGUGUGUAAGCGCAGCGAUGCGUUGAGCUAACCGGUACUAAUGAACCGUGAGGCUUAACCUUACAACGCCGAAGGUGUUU